UGAUAAUUAGUUUAACAAAAACAAAUGAUUUCGACUCAUUAGAUUAUGAAAAUUCUCAUAAUUAUCAA
rnacentral:tRNA from 1 species